rnacentral:misc_RNA from 1 species
AAUUAUUAAAGGAGAGACGCUAAUGAAGAGAGUAACAUGGCAAUUUGAAGAAUUAAAACAAACUUGCUCUGGUAAUACAGCAAAUGCGUUUAUAAACAAUAAUGCACAACGAAUAUCAUCUACAGGAUACAAAAUUUGUUUUACUACAAAUGAACGGCUUUCAUUUCUGCCUUAUCACCACAAUGCUCAACCUGCAUCUAUAAUUAUAUACCUAUAUACAAGAAAAGAAUUGUAUACCAUAUGAUCCCAAAAUUGCACAAGAUGGAAAUAGCACGACCAACGCAAAUUAAAUUUGAGUCUGUAAUUGCUUCAUUAAAUUCUGCAUUCUUUCAAGAUUCUGGCUUAAUUGUUUGAUUUCGGCAAGAUACUGUACAGACGAUUCUGAAGCGGAUACAUCAGUAAUAAGGGCGGAACAUUUAGCUUGUGAAUCCAAA